rnacentral:ncRNA from 1 species
UGGAAGGUUUGGUCCUGACCUUAGUGUUAAUUGUAACUAAAAUUAUACAUGCAAGUUUCAGCCCCCCUGUGAGAAUGCCCUAACUAUUCUAUUAAAUAAUUAGGGGCGGGCAUCAGGCACACACACGUGGCCCAAGACGCCUUGCUAAGCCACACCCCCAAGGGACUUCAGCAGUAAUAAACAUUGAUUAUAUAAGCGUAAGCUUGAAUCAGUUAAAGUUAACAGAGUCGGUUAAUCUCGUGCCAGCCACCGCGGUUAUACGAGUGACUCACAUUAAUACUUCCCGGCGUAAAGAGUGGUUUAAGAAUCGCCUGUUAUAAUUAAAGUUAAGACCUCAUCAAGCUGUUAUACGCUCCCAUGAGUGGAAUAAACAACAACGAAAGUGACUUUAUAAAAAAGGGGGCCUUGAUGCCACGAUAGUUGAAACCCAAACUAGGAUUAGAUACCCUACUAUGUUCAACCACAAACUUAGACAAUGCCCUACCACAUUGUUCGCCAGAGUACUACAAGCGCUAGCUUAAAACCCAAAGGACUUGGCGGUAUCCCACACCCACCUAGAGGAGCCUGUUCUAUAACCGAUAAUCCCCGUUUAACCUCACCACUUCUUGCCAACUACCGUCUAUAUACCGCCGUCGUCAGCUCACCCUGUGAGGGAAUAAGAGUAAGCAAAAAGAAUAAAACUCCCAAACGUCAGGUCGAGGUGUAGCGAAUGAAGUGGAAAGAAAUGGGCUACAUUUUUUAUUAAAAAUACACGAAUGGUGUUCUGAAAAUAUACCUAAAGGUGGAUUUAGCAGUAAGAGAAGGUCAGAGUACUUCUCUGAAAUUGGCUCUGGGAUGCGCACACACCGCCCGUCACUCUCCUCAAAAACCUUAUUUAUUUAUAUAAAAAUACCCAUUACAACAAGAGGAGGCAAGUCGUAACAUGGUAAGUGUACUGGAAAGUGCACUUGGAAU